ensembl:misc_RNA
GUGAAAGUUUCAUUCGACCUGAACAACAUUCAGAUUAAAUAUAUGGAUGAGGAUAAUGAUGAG